GGCUGAAAUUCGCCUUCAUGAAGCCGGAAUUGCUAGUAAUGGCAGGUCAGCAUACUGCCGUGAAUACGUUCCCGGGCCCUUGUACACACCGCCCGUCACACCAUGAGAGUUGGGAAUACCCGAAGCCUGUGAGCUAACGUUAAGAGGCAGCAGUCGAAGGUAGAAUCAAUGAUUGGGGUGAAGUCGUAACAAGGUAAC
rnacentral:rRNA from 1 species